CUCUCCAGAUAUCUGAUUUGCAGGUGGUGCAGCUGCAGUGGUGGGUCCCAGGCAAAGGUAACUCACUGUUGGCCAGUGUCUCCCGUGCAGGAAAUGGGCAGAAGGCGAAGGAGCAGCUUCAGCUUUUCUCUGGUGGAGCAGGGAGGGCAGCAGGUAAAGGAUGCCAGGGCAGAACACCUGCUUCAGACCUGUGCACAGCAGCAGCCUUGGCCAAAUUCUAGGCCUAUUUAGAAAUAGUUCUGCCAUGUUACUUUUACCAGUGCAAGGCCAGGGGCGUCCCUUUUUAAGGAGAACUGCAAAGGGCCUCUUUGGAUUACAAACUGGCGUGACCAGGCUCUUAUAUCUUUGAAUAUUGAGGCCGGGAGGGAGGAAAAAAAGAGAAGGCCAAAUUCCUUUGUCACAUACCCUGCUCUAAGUCCAGAGUAAUUACAUUAAAUGUAAUGAGCCUCCACGCUUCCUUCCCCACUCCCACUUGGGAACAGUCAUUUGUUGCUGGCUAAUUCCUGCAGCAGCCAAUGUACUUACCUACUGCAUUGGCAGAAGCCUCCUGGCCAGAGAACCACAGAGAGCAACAAAAGCUGCUGCCUUGCCCUGCCUUCUCCUUCUCCUCUUCCUCUUUGCCCAGGGAGAAAAGAAACACUGCCCCUCUAUUAAGGCAUCUAAUUGGCAAACAUUAAUUUUAUCUGCACCCAAGCUCGCUGUGACUCUCAGUGGUGCUGCCAGACACUGAUUCACCACUCUGCACCAUUUUCCUCUCCAUCUACCUGAGGAAGGUUCUUCCACAAAGAAACACAAUUCAGUAGUCGCCUGCAGGCUGGUGAUGGCCAGUAGCACUCAGGUCUCCAGACCUGCAGGCUGAGAAAGUGGGGAAACCACGGAAAGAGAGGCUCUGUUUUGGCUAAAGGGAAGUGGUGAAGGGAAGAGGUGCAAAACCAGGGAGCAGAACAGUCUGACCUUCCCAAGGCCAGGAGUAUAUGAACAGUGCUUCAAGCAACAUUCAGUUUCCUAGACCCCAGGCAAAGACUUUCCUGCCAGUCCAGGUCAUCCCACUGCAGCCCACACAGCAAGAUGCUGGGCACCAGGAAAGCAUCCUGCCAGCCUGGCAAGUCUCCUCCAGGUGCAGACACAGGAGACCACAAGCAGCAGAUAGAGGUGAUUAAUCUUCCCACUUUGUGUGCCAUAGGUCUGAUCCCUGCUGGGCUGCUUGCCUGCAAUCCUCAUCACCUGGGGAUUUUAUGGAGCUGCACCUCUCAGAAAGGAGGUCUUUUCCAGGGAGCUGUGAAGCCAUAUAUAAUAACUGCACGUUGCUAUUAUUAACUUGAGCACCUGGAGGAGGUGACAGCAAAGGCCUUAUGGAGGUGAUGAGUAGCUGUAUUUACGCCUAUCAGUUUCACCAGAGGAAGUUUUGGGGCCUUGACAUAAGAGCAAAUCUGCCUUCAGCACCUGGGCCUCCUCUCUGCUUCUCUUCCCCAGGCAGGCAAAUAUUUUCAGGCAUGUAAAUUAACUCUUUUGUGCUCAAUCCCACUGUGCAUUUAAAGCAUCGGGAUUGGGAUGCAUCCAUGCUCAACACAAAGCAAGGGAGGGAAAGAGGUGACAUGCAAUUCCACCCUCCCCCCACAACAGCAGCAUUUGAGGAGAAAAUCCUCCAGAAAAAAAAAACCAACCCAUGCUCUGCUUUCUUCUGAUGGUGCAGGCUGGUUUGUGCUGUCUGUAAUUGUAAUCAAAGUUAAUUUAAUCCUGGUGUGGAGGUUGCUGAGCAACUGAAGACAUUUAUCCAGAGGAGACAGGGGCUGUAAUCACGUCACCUCAAGUAAAGGUGGUAGGGCAGCCACAUAACACUGCUAGUGCCCAGGGCAGAGAGCUGUGGGUCACAGGAAGACACUGGUGUUUGUGGUAGGUACAGAAGCCAAGGGAAAAGCACUAAGGUUAUGCCAAAAUUGUGCUUUCUUUCGUAAUACAGGUUGGAUCAGACCAGGAAUAAGGCCCCAUAUGGACACCUCACAUGAAGGCACAACCUCCCAGGGGAUGAACAGAGAGUGCCUGUCUGGCUCACAGACAUAACCAAAGAGCUUUCGUGGAAUUUAAAGGCCUGUGGGUGCACCGAGGGCAGGAGGAGGAGGUGGUGGCCUGCCGGGAAAAAGGACCAAAGCGUGGUGGGAUCCCAAGCACACCAAGUGCCUCCUUACCUCAGCUGCUUCCUCCCAUCAGACCCUUUUCCUUUGGAAAAACAGAUCCUGCGGAGCCACCAGGGUCCAUCUCCUGCUGCACUGGCCAGGCUGUCUCUGAAAUAGCAGUUGUAUGGGGCAAAAAAGGAAUUAUUUUGCUUUUCUAAAAGGCAUAUUGGGUUUCUAGCUGAGAGGAGGAGCAGCCUGAUGGCUUAGGUGAAGACUAUGGUUUUUCAAAGCAGAGCUGUCCUUGAGUAUAUUGAAAUGACCAAAAAUGUGGACGUAUGGCAGGGAAAAGACAACACACUGAGCAGUAGCAUUGCUGCGUGUCAGACCUUGUGAAACGGUGGCAGCACAGCACAGCAGGAGAAUGGAGCAGGUAAAGCCUAGUUUCAAGAUUUCCCAAAGACAGGCUUUUCGAAACCACAAAUGCCGUAGCAAUUUAUUUAACUUUUUGCUUUGUGCUGCCAAGUGUGCUACUUUUUCCAUAAUUUUGCUCUAUUUUGUAGAAUUCUUUAGGUUGGAAGAGGUGUUUAAGACCAUUGAGUCAAACUCUUAACCAGACAUUGCCAAGACCAUCACUAAAUCAUGUUCCUGAGUGCCACAUAUACAUGGUUUUUACACACCUCCAGGGAUGGUGACUCAGCUGCUUCCCUGGCAGCCUGUUCCAAGCCUUGACAACCCUUUGGGUGAAGAAAUUUUUCCUCACAUCCAGUGUAAACCUCCUGUGGUGCAACUUCAGGCCAUUUCUUUUUGUCCUAUCCCUUGUUACCUGAAAGAGGAGACCAACACCCACCUCACCACAACCUCCGUUUAGGUAGUUGUGUGUUGUGCCCAAAAUGGGCAAUAUUGAGUUGUUAGUUUUCAGUGCAUAACAGCCAUCUCUCCUCCCUCACCUCACUCCUUUCAGGGGGUACAGGCUGUAAGUGCAUGACGUACUGGGUGUUCACCUGCCUACCACCCACCCCAGCACCCUCCAAAAUGUGCCCAUUCCAUGUGGAUGUGGCUCUUCCUCACUGGGGGAGGUUGUGCUUCUGCUUGCCAGCCAGGGUAUUUGCCAGUCCCCACUGCUCAUUUGCUUUGCUUCAAGCACUUGGUGGUGACGGCAACACUCAGAGUUUGCCUGCCCUGGGGAGUGCCAGGGAAGCUUUGGGGUUCUGUGCCAAGCCAGCCAGGAGAAAUGCAGCAGCCACACUCUGCUGGGCUCAGGGCAUGCAGAGCUCCUCCGCAGGAAACCUCGGACAGGAGGGAAGGGUAAGGCGGUGCUGAGAUGUGGCUGUCAAAAAAAAAAAAAAGGAGGGUGAGCAAAACCACAAAUUAAAAACAAAAAUCCUGAGCAAUUUUCUUCUGGGGAAAUUAAGAUGCAGUUUUGAUUAAAUUCCACACCUCUUAGGUUGUCCAAGCUUUAGUUUCACGCCGCCAGUUUUGGUCAGUCCCGGUGCUGAUGGAUCCAAAUAUGAGACCUUUUGGAGCAGUUCCUUAAAGGAAAUGGAGAGAUGAAGAAAUACAAUGCAUUUAAUGAAACCCCACUAUGGAAGCAAAAAUAACCACCAAUGCACAACUCUGCACAAGACUAUUUUCCAUUUUCUCCAAGGACAAGCCCCUCUGAAGCCCCACCACCUUUCUGCAGUGGUUUUUGGCAGAUGGUAGUCCAGCAAGAGCCCCAUCCUAAUCCGUUCCUGGGGUUUUGAGGACUUGCACAGGCCCUGCCUAGGCCUCAUGGGUGAAGUUUUCCCAAGGGAACUGAGAAUACAAGACCUACAGGGAUUUCACCAGGCAGCACACAGUCUGUGUGGCACAUCCUAUAUCUCUUCAGCACUGUGUUGCUCAACAGGGAGAGAAGUGAACCAGUGAAAGCAUUCCCCUUCCCACAAAGAGAUUCAGAGCCUGUCCUCAGGCUUUCAAGUUUACAUUUUUUCCUAUGUUACAGGGUUGGGUUUUUUUGUUGGUUUUUUUUACUAUGGAGGAGAUAUUAAUUUCAUGCUUGGCUUGGCUCUUGAGCCAGGAGCAUUCUCCCUUCUGCAUCAUGACAUACACUUUUUUCUCCACAUCAGGAGCUGCUGAGCCAUUUCCCCUUCCUGGGGCCAUGGGGAUGGGCUGCAGACAGUAGGUUUUUAUGACUGCUGAGGGGUUGUUUAGCACCACAUGGAGACAGCCACCCACCUCCAAACCUGACCCCAUGUGCUGACUGGUGACAUCCCCGUGCUGGAGUCACCCCACUGCGUACAAUGUAGAGGAGAAAUGCAGCAUAUCUCAGCUUUGCUUUAAACCAUGUUUCCCAUGAUAGAAUCCAAAGUGUUAUUUGAUUGUGCUAGAACCUGUUUAUAUUAUUUUCUGGGUUCUUUUUCCUGAAUACUUGUCUCAAAAUCUUAAGCCUACAGAGCCUUGGAUGGUCCAUUUGCAAAAAUAAAUCUAUGUUGUACGCAUGCCAAGAAAAAUAUAAUGUUUAUUUCUUUCUUAAUUUUUCUAAGUGGUGUUUGUUCCUAACACCUUUAAAGCCCUCUGGUUUUCUGAAAUUUCUUUCUUUAAGUCAGUGAGUACAGAGAAAGCAAAUGCAGAAGCAGCAGUUUCAGUAGCUGGCGAGGCUACUGAAGAUUUAUGCUGACAUAUACGCUGUGCCUAUGGCUGAAUUAAUAGUGCCGCCGAAGCAUUUGUAUUUUCUGGGGGUUUUCACUCUGACAUUGGAAAUGGAAGCACAGCCACACCUGCACACAGAGAGUGUGGAUGGAAUGUAUAUGGAAUUCAUCUGCAAUUCUUACUUAUUCUCUAAAUGAGAUCAUUGUUGAGGUUACAGGGAAAUAUCACCUAACUCCCCUUUGUUCCUACCCUACAUAGGUGAGGAUUUGUCUUUUCUGUGGAACAGGUCUUCGGACCAGUUUUACACCAAAAUAUUUUCAUUGUCUUCAGUAAAGUUUAUCUUCACUCAUCUCAGUGUAAUUGAUGGCAGAAUCUAGCCCAGACUGAGGAAUUUCAUUUUUCUCCUAAAUAUUUUGUUGCUUGCUAUUUUAACAAAAGCUAAAGUAGAAAUAUUUUCUUCCACUGAAAAAUAUUGAAAAAUAAUUUUCUUCUUUCACUUCCAAAGUUCAGUGUAUUUCAGAGCCAGAAUUCAGCUUCCCACACAGCAGCGUGAACCACUUGGAGAUGUCAAGCAGUCUAUUCAUUGCUCAGAUUGUAUUUUGAUGCUGCUCAGAGUUCCCAGGUAAGAAAAUACAUUCAAUCAUUUAUAGCUCUGAACCAGAGCAAAAGACCAGUGCCUUAAAGGGAAAAGAAGGAAGGAAAGAAGAGAUGUAGGUUGUUAAGUGAAGGUGGAGAGCAAAACAGAUGAAAUUGAUAAAGUGGAAAGCUAUAUUAUUCACUCCAAGGCUCCAUUUAGUCCCUCUGGCCUGGUAGUUUCAGCAAAGUGAAACUCUUGCUGGAAUCAAUACUGCUAUCAUUUCACAAAAUUACAGUGGUUUGAACAGAAAACUAGUCAUAAAUCAACUUUGUGCAUGGACAGCUGGAGGAAAUAUUUCUUGCUUUGAAGAUUUGGGUGCUUCAGAACUAGUAAAGAGGAUCUUGGCUCUCUAAGAAUACAUAUUUACUGCAUUUCUUGGAAAUAGAAGCUGCUGUUGCAUAUUCAAACAAGUCAAAAUAGCAAUGUGAAAAAAGGCAGUGCCUCCAUUUUAAUCAGAUGAGGAAAGAGCGUGCUGGAUUUCAGUGAAACUCGGGUGUUUUGGAGAUAGUCCCAUUCUCUGGCACUCACUAGGAGUUCCUUCAAACUAGGCUAAGAAUGUGUCCUUGUUGCUUCUUUUUCAAAUGCCUAACCUAGAUCCCAUAGAUUUUGAGAGGCUUUUGAACCUCAUUACUUUCAGCUUAAUGAAGUUAAGUCAUUUUUAGUCAUUGCCACAGGAAGAUGUCCAGCCCUCAGCUUCCAGGGAAAGGGACUGGACUUGAAGACUGACUUUGUCUUCAAGGAACACAUUUUAGGAACUAUUUUAGAAACACAUCCUUGAAGAUCCUUCAAAGAAAAGCAUGACAAGCACAGCUGAUGCCCACUUCAGGAAGGUUUCACUACAUUCUUCUGUGUUUUCUUUAAUAAUUCUGAAAUUCAACAUUUUCUGUUGUUCUUGUUUUCCAAUAAAGUUAUGUCAGAUGGCAAGAAAUUAUCUGUGUGGGUGCUGGAAGCUUCAGAGAUAUAAUGCACAGCAGAAAAGAAGUAGGGAAGGAUAAUGUCUCCACAUCUACUUCCUUGCUCUGGACAGAAUAAACAUCAGCCACAGCUCCAUGAUCAUCGGCUGGCCAGUGCAUUAAGCAUGAGGGACUCUUAGACAUUCCUGUUACAGCUGGAAGCCCUUUCCUCUUUUCCUGUGAGGCAGAAACGAGUGGCAUUGGAGCCAAGGCAGAGCUAGGAAGGCUGCUGGAAUGAGGCAGCCCUGCUUGUGAAACCACCCCAAAGCCUGAAAACGUCCCAGGUUUCUAAACUACAGCUUCUAUCAGAGCUUGGUCCUGAAGUGUCAGACCUUUGGAUGUGGUGGCCUUUGCUCAGCCCUGCUUGCAGUGAAAAGGCCAGUCCACUGUGUCCUGACUGGGUGCUGCCAAAUUGAAAAGUGUGAAGAUAGAGCAUUUGCUAAUUUGGGAUUGCAUCUGGGGUAAAUCUCUGCUUGUUUUCCCUCUAAGGUGCCUGUGAAACACACAUUUGUGCAAUAUCUAAGCACCGUACAGCUGUAAUUAUUUCUAAUGGUUUCCCCUGUCUCUUGCAUUUAGUGCACUGGAAUUUUCU